UGCGUAGGUGGUUGAUUAAGUCUUUGGUGUAAGUGCAGUGCUUAACGCUGUGAUGCUAAAGAAACUGGUUAACUUGAGUGUGGUAGAGGCAAGUGGAAUUCCAUGUGUAGCGGUAAAAUGCGUAAAUAUAUGGAGGAACACCAGUGGCGAAGGCGGCUUGCUGGGCCACAACUGACACUGAGGCACGAAAGCGUGGGGAGCAAACA
rnacentral:rRNA from 1 species